rfam:Mesocricetus auratus contig196539, whole genome shotgun sequence.
UAUCAAGUCAGGCUCCUGGCUACAGUCCAGCUCUUAGCUGGAUUUAGACAUAGCCUGACUGAAAA